ACUCGGAGGAAAGGGGACUCACGUUGGGUGUGGGUGGCUGAGGCUCUGCAGCUCCCGGGAGCUGAGAGCCCGUAGGAAUUCAAGGUGUGCUCGGAGCGCGCUGGCGUUUUCCUGGGUCCUGCUCAGCCGGGUGCACAUCUCCGUAUUCGCCCAGUGUUUCUCACAGAUGACAUCGCACAUAAGCAAAACAAAAUUUGCCUUAUGCUCCUUAUGCUCAAAUUGCUCCUAGUAUAUCAAUCACGUUGGAACAAACUCGCAUUUUCGAAACAAGCGUUACAGCAAAACUGACUGUAUCUAUAUUGAAUCAUUUCAUCUCUCUCCCCUGCAAACAUAGACCCCCCUCAAAGCGGACACCCUGCUAGCUUUUCACCUUCUGUAGAAUAGUGCCCGGCGUGGGGCGGGGGGGUGGGGAGGGUGCUGGCAGUGACCUGUCCAGUGGACAAACGUCAGUGUUGGUUAAAUGAACUC
rnacentral:lncRNA from 1 species